UNUGACUUGAGUGCAGAAGGGGAGAGUGGAAUUCCAUGUGUAGCGGUGAAAUGCGUAGAUAUAUGGAGGAACACCAGUGGCGAAAGCGGCUCUCUGGUCUGUCACUGACGCUGAGGCUNGAAAGCGUGGGUAGCGAACAGGAUUAGAUACCCUGGUAGUCCACGCCGUAAACGAUGAGUGCUAGGUGUUAGGCCCUUUCCGGGGCUUAGUGCCGGAGCUAACGCAAUAAGCACUCCGCCUGGGGAGUACGACCGCAAGGUUGAAACUCAAAGGAAUUGACGGGGGCCCGCACAAGCGGUGGAGCAUGUGGUUUAAUUCGAAGCAACGCGAAGAACCUUACUAGGUCUUGACAUCCCGAUGCUAUUCUUAGAGAUAGGAAGUUACUUCGGUACAUCGGAGACAGGUGGUGCAUGGUUGUCGUCAGCUCGUGUCGUGAGAUGUUGGGUUAAGUCCCGCAACGAGCGCAACCCUUAUUGUUAGUUGCCAUCAUUAAGUUGGGCACUCUAGCGAGACUGCCGGUAAUAAACCGGAGGAAGGUGGGGAUGACGUCAAAUCAUCAUGCCCCUUAUGACCUGGGCUACACACGUGCUACAAUGGUCGGUACAACGAGUUGCGAGCCGGUGACAGCAAGCUAAUCUCUGAAAGCCGAUCUCAGUUCGGAUUGGAGGCUGCAACUCGCCUCCAUGAAGUCGGAAUCGCUAGUAAUCGCGGAUCAGCACGCUGCGGUGAAUACGUUCCCGGGCCUUGUACACACCGCCCGUCACACCACGAGAGUUUGUAACACCCGAAGUC
rnacentral:rRNA from 1 species